AGUCGCAUGGUGUAAUGGUAGCACAGAUGAUUUUGGUUCAUCUAGCCUAGGUUCAAACCCUAGUGCGACUA
rnacentral:tRNA from 1 species